AGUGAACGCUGGCGGUAGGCCUAACACAUGCAAGUCGAACGGCAGCACAGUAAGAGCUUGCUCUUACGGGUGGCGAGUGGCGGACGGGUGAGGAAUACAUCGGAAUCUACUUUUUCGUGGGGGAUAACGUAGGGAAACUUACGCUAAUACCGCAUACGACCUACGGGUGAAAGCAGGGGAUCUUCGGACCUUGCGCGAUUGAAUGAGCCGAUGUCGGAUUAGCUAGUUGGCGGGGUAAAGGCCCACCAAGGCGACGAUCCGUAGCUGGUCUGAGAGGAUGAUCAGCCACACUGGAACUGAGACACGGUCCAGACUCCUACGGGAGGCAGCAGUGGGGAACAUUGGACAAUGGGCGCAAGCCUGAUCCAGCCAUAUCGCGUGGGUGAAGAAGGCCUUCGGGUUGUAAAGCCCUUUUGUUGGGAAAGAAAAGCAGCAGGUUAAUACCCCGCUGUUCUGACGGUACCCAAAGAAUAAGCACCGGCUAACUUCGUG
rnacentral:rRNA from 1 species